rnacentral:lncRNA from 1 species
GAAACCAUCAUGAUUCAGGCAGUCAGAGUCACUUUUUACUUAAACGUUUUUCCUGUCUCCGAUUUCCAGAGUGUUUUUGAGUGAGAAAUAUGUUAAAACGGAGAUAGGAAAUAAAACUUCCUAGUACCUUUUAUUUCUGGGUCUGGAAAUUCUUUUCAUUGAGUACUCUAAGAUUUAGGAUAAUGUUAUUUGUAUUACAGAGUCUAUAGAAAUUAUGUCCUUUAUUAAUUAGAACCCAAUUACGUUUUACUUUGACAAUUUUUAAAGUUUAUAAUCACAUUUAUUCUCCACGCUGUCUCCAAGCGAAGUUAGCAUAUAAACAUACCUGUAUUUUUUUAAUAUAUAUAUUUUUUGUUGGUUAGUCUUGUUGGUGUAGUGGUUGAUUUUAACCAGAUGUCACUCUAGCAUUAUAACAAUUUCUAACCCAUUGGUGACUUUUUAGUUCAUAACUGUCCCAGUUCUUCUUAGUCCAACAAACUCCUAAAUUAUCCCACCUCGUUAAGCUCCACAAAUCACCAUAAAUCACCCCACUUAUGCCUUUAGCACGACUGUAUUUCUUUUAUCUCUCUGAUCCCACUUCAUAGGAGUCCACUAGUGAGUCCUGACCUUCAGGGCAUCCACCCUGCCAGGGGGAACACUACCAGAAGCAUGUGACUUAAUAGAAAGGGGAAUUUUUGAGGUAAGGACUGGCAGGAGCAGUGAGCUCACACUCCCAGAAAUGAAUCAAGCACUAGUCCCCCCCACCCGCCCAUAG